rnacentral:rRNA from 1 species
GACGUAGGGCGCGAGCGUUGUCCGGAUUUAUUGGGCGUAAAGAGCUCGUAGGCGGCUUGUCGCGUCGACUGUGAAAACCCGCGGCUCAACCGUGUGGUCUGCAGUCGAUACGGGCAGGCUAGAGUUCGGUGAGGGGAGACUGGAAUUCCCGGUGUAGCGGUGAAAUGCGCAGAUAUCGGGAGGAACACCGGUGGCGAAGGCGGUUCUCUGGGCCUUACCUGGACGCUG